AGAGCGAUAUGCAGUAUUUCCGGGGGAAAAGAUAUAAUCACGCGAUUAAUCGACAAGAAGCGCUUGAAAACAGGCACUUAUCAAACGAUUUAUUAGACACAGGCUAACAGAUGGCUGAACAUGGGAGGCACUGGGGGGUGGGGGCAUCUGUUGCUUGGAUGCUCAGGCGUCACUCGCGAGAAGAUGUCUUGUGCUUGAAACAGUAUUUAUCCACCUCUCUAAUCACUCCUGGUCAUUGCACUGGCCAUAAAGGAGUGUGAGUAUGGCCACGCCACACCUGCAGCCUGCAUGGGGAAUUGGAGCCUAGCAGUCUCUGACAAUCCCCAUCGGUUUCCCAAAUGACUGACUGACUAACGGAAAGGGAAUUGCCCUGCUCCCAUUUAAGCAAUAACAUAGAAAGCCAACCUUCCGGAAGAGGUCAUGGUGAACACAGAUGAUCUGAACCAACUUUUGAUGAGUUUGCAUGAUUUGAACUUGGGAUAGUUCUACAUAUUUAACUUUGCAACAAGUAAAGUUACACAG